UACGGGGGGUGCAAGCGUUGUUCGGAAUUACUGGGCGUAAAGGGCUCGUAGGCGGCCAACUAAGUCAGACGUGAAAUCCCCAGGCUCAACCUGGGAACUGCGUCUGAUACUGGAUGGCUUGAAUCCGGGAGAGGGAUGCAGAAUUCCAGGUGUAGCGGUGAAAUGCGUAGAUAUCUGGAGGAACACCGGUGGCGAAGGCGGCAUCCUGGACCGGCACUGACGCUGAGGAGCGAAAGCCAGGGGAGCAAACGGG
rnacentral:rRNA from 1 species